CGAAGCCGGGGGAGGCGGGGCAUAGACUCACAGUCUGCAGUCCAUUGGUUCUCUCCCCGUAGUCCCCGCCCCCAAGCGUUCGAGACGGUGGGGCGGGCCACGUCAGGCAGCCGGCGCGGGGCUCCGCUCGUAGCAGAAGGGAGAGUCUGCAUAUAUACAUGUAAGAGAAGCAAAAAUGUCAGAUGAUAUCAGGAAAAGGUUUGAAUUUCCAAAUUCUCUUAUCCAAUCACAGGCGGUGGGUCAUCUUAUUGCUGCAGUCCUGAAGGAAAAUGGUUUUUCAGAAAAGAUCCAUCAAUCCACAAACCAGACUCCGGCUUUAAACUUGCUGUGGGAGAAGUGUUGCAGUGAUAAUGUGGUGGUUCGAACAGCCUGCUGUGAGGGUCUAGUGGCCCUUGUUGCUCAGGAUCACGCAGAGUUCAGCUAUGUGCUCAAUGGGAUACUCAACCUGAUUCCAUCAACCAGGAAUACACAUGGCUUGAUAAAAGCCAUUAUGAAAUUAUUACAAAUGCAAGCUCUUAAGGAAGGACAAGGUGGGGAGAAGAAUAUUCGGAAUUUAUAUACUAUUAGGCUGAGGGUGGGCUCAGGAUUCUCGAGUAACAAGCUCCCAGGUGAUGCUGACCCUUCUCUCCCCCACACUAUGGGUAGUGGAGCUCCGCCUCGCCGUCAGCAGUACCUGGGAGCCUCUUGGAGAGUGGGGUCUCCUACUCCAUCUCACACUACCUGUAUCCGCACCCGCGUUCCAGUUAGAUUUUGCAGAAAUCAUCCUCAGCCUUUGAUCACUAUGCUUGAACACAGACCUGACUGCUGGCCAGUACUUUUGCAGCAGCUGACGGCUUUUUUCCAGCAAUGCCCUGAAAGGUCAGAAGUUUCAUGUAUCCAAAUAAUGGCACCAUUUCUAUGGUAUCUAUAUUGCGAACCAUCCCAGUUGCAAGAAUAUGCUAAAUUGCGACUAACGCUGCUCAAAGUCUUACUUCAACCGGGGGUUCCUGGUGACCCAGAACAACCAUCAAUCUUGGAACAACAGAUACUUCGGCUGUGUUGUGACAUGGUUCCGUGUUUGCAGGUAAAAGAUUUGAUCCAGACAACAGAAGUGAUGCUGUUUAUUGAGGAAGUAUAUUUAAGCCUUCUGCGUCAUCCCGUUUUCUGGAAAAUUCAGCUUAUCCAGCUGACCCUUCAGCUGCUGUGUGUCUGCGAAGUCAGCUUAACAAUAACUGGGGAAUGCUCAUCUUUAAUUCACCUUUUAGAGCACAGUGUUGAACUUCUGAAGGAGGAUUUUCCUGUUGAACUGGUCACGAUUGGAAUAGCUUUACUUCUGCUACAGACUCCAGCAAGUCAGCAGAAACCAAUCCUAAGUCUAGCUUUGAAGCUCCUCUCUGUUGCUGGGGGUCAGAAAAUUCCAAGGUCAUCCUGGGUGCUAGUGAUGCCAGUUCUGCAGAUAUUGUCUUCUACUGCCUUGGAAGACUGUAUAUCCAUGCAUGAAGAAGGUCCUUCGAGGCAACAGUUGGCUUUGAACCUUUUGGAAAUGGUACAGCAGGAGUCCUACAGAGACGACCACCAAAAGCUCUCCUACAAGCUCGCGUUCCCCAUAACCAGCAUGUAUGGAUCAAUAUUUACAGCCUGGAGGAUCCUUGAAGUAACGAGAGAAGAGUCUGCGGCCAGUGACUGGCUGUUUUCCAUAGAGUCCUUGCUCCCUAUUACCACAGUGAUCCCUGUGCAUGUUUUCCUUUUGUUGGCUCACCUCCUUGUUGAAGAUCAAGGACAGAAUCUUCGCCAGAUACUGAAGGUCACUACAUUAUUAGCCCAAGCAGAUUCCUCUCAGGUACCAAAUCUGAUUCCAGUUUUAAUGUUCAAAUUGGGAAGACCACUGGAACCCGUGUUGUAUAAUGACAUCUUGUAUACUUUACCUACACUUGGUGUUCACAAGGUGUGUAUAGGCCAGAUUCUGCGAGUGAUCCAGCUUCUUGGAACCACUCCACAACUAAGAGCUGUCACUCUGCGCUUAUUGACAUCGUUGUGGGAAAAGCAGGAUCGUGUCUACCCUGAACUGCAGCGUCUCAUGGCCACGUCCGAUGUACCUUCUCUGUCUGUGGGCAGGGAAGUCCAGUGGGAAAAACUCAUCGCCAAAGCAGCAUCAAUCAGAGACAUAUGUAAGCAAAGGCCCUACCAGCAUGGAGCGGAUAUGUUGGCAGCCGCUUCCCAGGUGUUGAAUGAAUGCACCAAACCUGAUCAAGCCACUCCGGCAGCCUUGGUCCUCCAAGGUCUUCACGCGCUCUGCCAAGCGGAGGUCGUUUGCAUUCGCUCAACUUGGAACGCACUCUCCCCAAAGCUCAGCUGUGACACGAGACCUCUCAUUUUGAAGACCCUUAGUGAACUGUUUUCUCUCGUUCCUUCCUUAACAGUCAAUACGGCUGAAUAUGAGAAUUUUAAAGUUCAAGUCCUCAGCUUCCUCUGGACCCACACUCAAAACAAGGAUCCCAUUGUGGCAAAUGCCGCAUAUAAAUCUCUGUCACACUUCAGUGCUGGAGAACACACCAUUCUUCAUCUGCCUGAAGAGAUAAGACCCGAAAUCCCUACUCCCGAUGAGCUAGAUGAAGACGAAGAUGAUGAGGGCGAUGAGAAGGAUGUGGAUCUUUCUAUUCCUGGCUCUUGCUAUCUCAAACUGUUGUCACUUACUGCUCCUUUGGUCUUACCAGCUUUGGAGGAAUUUUUUACAUCUCUUGUGAAGCAGGAAAUGGUGAAUAUGCCCCGAGGAGUGUAUCACUCUGCAUUAAAAGGAGGUGUCCGGUCAGACCAAGGAAAAACUGUAGCAGGAAUCCCCAAUUUUAUAUUGAAAAUGUAUGAAACCAAUAAGCAGCCAGGUCUGAAACCUGGCCUUGCAGGUGGUAUGUUAUUUUGUUACGAUGUUUCAACCUAUCAGAGUAAAGAUGGCAAACCAUUGAAUCGACUGAUGGCCAGUAGAGGGCGAAGUUUCAAGCAGACCUCACUUGCUCUAGUGCAUGAGGUUCACAUCCAGCUUUCCGAGUGGCACCGGGCAAUCUUUCUGCCACCGGCCUGGCUUGCAUAUAUGAGUCGAGCUUAUCAUGCCAUUUUACAGGGCAGGACAGGAGAGCUGGAUUUGCAGUUGAAACACGGGAAAGAAGGACCCGAGGAGGUGCAGUACAAAAAAGGCACAGCCUGGCUCUGGGUCCGAGACAUGUUGACUGAGGAGAUCACCAAGGCGGCGGCCAAGGAGAGCCCAGUGGUCAAGGGCAACGCACUGUUAGCCUUAAGCAGCCUCGCUGUCAUCGUAUCCAAACACGAAGCCAGUCUCUCUUCAGACUCAGAGGGGGUCCCGGAGGUUCAGCCUAAUUUCCUUUCAAUGAAGGAGUGGGUUUCCAUGGUGUCUGAUACUCUCCUGGUCAUUGUGGAUAGCCAUUACCAACCCAGAGGACAACUUUUCUCCUCGUUUUAUUAUAAAUCCUAUUCUGGUGAAAACACAGCUAGCGCGAUUGCCCGCUCCGCUGCCGCCACGGCUUUGUCUCUCCUCGUGCCAGUUUUCAUGAUUUCUUGCAAAGAGAAGGUUGAGGAAAUCCUAAACAUGCUGACUGCCAGGUUACCUGGGAAACCAAGAGCUGAUGAGUCUCAAGCCGUGCAGAUCCACAUGGGCCUUGCUUUGGGGAUGUUUCUCUCGCGCUUGUGUGAGGAGAAACUCAGCGAUAUAUCUGGCCAACAGAUGAACCUUCUUCUGAUGAAGUCUCUAGAUGCCCUGGAAAAUUGCUGCUUUGAUCCUAGUCUUGAAUAUAACACGGGCUGUAUAUUGGGCGUUGGACUUGUUCUGUCCCUCAUGAGCCACAGCAGCCAAACAGAGUCUCGAGUUCACGUGGCAGCAUCGCUUCGGAAGCUCUCGACGUACCUAGAUGACAGUGGGAGCCAAAGCAGAACAUUUCAGGAGGUCCUGGCCUAUACCCUCAGCUGCGUGUGUACCUCAGCGUUCAGUACUGGGAUCAUUGAGGCUGCAGAGGCUGAAGAUAUCAUGAACAAGCUUCUGAUGUUGGUAGAAAACAACCAACAGACUUCAGGUUUUGCCCUGGCGUUAGGAAACCUAGUUCAUGGUUUGUCUCUGUGCGGACAUGGAAAAGCUGAGGACUUGGGCCACAGACUGCUCCCCGCCUGGAUCAGAAUUGUUCUAGCACAGGGCACUCCUACAAUGCUCUGUUUGGCAGCGCUUCACGGCAUGGUGGCCUUGGUAGGCUCUGAAGGGGAUGUAACGCAGCUGAAGUCAGAAGCUAUCCAGUCCUCUCAUUUUCAAGCCAGACUUAAUGAAGUCAUUAAAACUGUAACUCAGGUCAUCAGUGUGUCUGGCGUGAUUGGUCUUCAGUCAAAUGCUCUCUGGCUUCUAGGACAUCUUCACCUAUCUACUCUGUCCUCAAGUCAGAGUAGAACCUCUGUUCCCACCGACUACAGCUAUCUGCCCGAGAGCAGUUUUAUUAGAGCGGCCGUGGGCUUCUUCGUUACAGGAGGGAAAAAAGGUCCUGAAUCUGUGCCUCCUUCCCUUCUCAAAGUUGUGAUGAAACCCAUUGCAACGGUCGGAGAAAGCCACCAGUAUCCUCCGGUGAACUGGGCCGCGCUCCUUUCUCCACUUAUGAGGCUAAACUUUGGAGAAGAGAUACAGCAGCUCUGCCUUGAAAUUGCCACGACACAGGCACCAUCAUCCCAGAAUGCAGCUGCGCUCUUGGGACUGUGGGUGACACCACCGCUGGUCCACGGCCUCAGCUUGAAUAUCAAGAAAUACCUCCUGGUGUCUACACCUCUGUGGAUAAAACAUGUCUCUGAGGAACAGAUCCUGGGCUUUGUUGAAAAUGUAAUGGUGGCAGUUUUUAAAGCAGCUUCCCCACUUCCCCAUCCUGAGUUAUGCACGAGUGCCUUACAGGGGCUGAGCCAGGCCAUGAAACUGCCCAGCCCUACCCACCACCUCUGGAGUCUGCUCUCUGAAGCUACUGGGAAAAUUUUUGACCUUCUGCCAAAUAAGAUUCGGAGAAAUGAUCUAGAGCUGUAUGUCAGUAUAGCAAAAUGCCUCUCAGAAAUGACAGAUGAUGAAGCCAAUCGGGUUGCCCAGAUUACUGAGAUUUUAUUGAUUUGUCAGAGACAGAGAACACAAGCAGGGGGAGCGGCAGGCAGAGGGAGAAGCAGACUCCCACUGAGCAGGGAGCCCGAUGUGGGACUCGAUCCCAGGACCCUUCACCGACAGAGGCAGACGCUUCACCGACAGAGCCACCCAGGCGUCCCAACAAGUACUUCUUAUAUCCACACCCAAAGGAUGAAGGAGUAACAUACGAGUAAAGUUGCACAUUUAGCUAGUAUAAUACAUGUCUUGUUAGAUUUGAAUUGCCUAUAGAUAGUGAAUGAUGUUUUUUAGUAUAAGUAUAUCCCAGUGGACAUACUUCUACAAAUGGCAACCCUACAUACCAGAUAAUAGAAAAGGUCUAGAGAAAUGUGAGCCCUCACCCAGCUGGUGAACCUCUUACCAUUUAUUUCACCUGAUGACAGGUUUGCCUAUUCAGUUGAAUCCUUGAAUUUCGGCAUCGUGUAGCAGUGAUUCUCAAAAUGUGUUCCCUGGACCAGCAGCAUAAGCAUGGCGACUGAUUAGGAAUGAAAAUUCUGGAGUCCCACUUCAGGUCUACUGAGUCAGAGGUGGGGCCCAGGAUCUGUGUUUUAACAGUCCCUCCAGAUGAUUGUGCUGCAUCCUGAGGUUUGAGAACCCCUAUUAGAGUAUUUGGAAUAUCAGCAUUUUGGAGAUUAGUUUGUUUUAAGCAAAGACAAGCAGGCUAAGGAAAUGCUUAAGAGAAUGGACUGUAGAGCCUCACUGCUGGGGUUUGAAAUCCAGCUCUGUAAUUUACUAGUAAUGUGACCCUGGUUACGUUUCAUAAUCUCUCUCUGCCUCAGUUUCCUUAUCUAUAAAAGGGAGAUAUUAGCACCUACCGCCAGAGCUGUUUUGAGAGUUACAAUGACUUAAUCCAUGGUAAAUUCUUGGAAAAGUACCUGACGUAAGGCUAGUACUCAAGCAACCUAGAAAAGGCUGCCUUUGUCAGACUGUACUUGGUCUCUCAAGGACGAUUCCCCUUGAUGGGCUUGAUGGACAUCCUCAGCGUCGCUGUUCGGCACCGGGAAAAAGACACGGUAGCCUGGAUGGUGGUGCACAGC